rnacentral:rRNA from 1 species
UACGUAGGGAGCAAGCGUUGUUCGGAGUUACUGGGCGUAAAGAGUGCGUAGGCGGUGUAGUAAGUUUGGCGUGAAAUCUCCCGGCUUAACUGGGAGGGUGCGCUGAAAACUGCGGUGCUGGAGUGUGGGAAGGGCAAGCGGAAUUCCUGGUGUAGCGGUGAAAUGCGUAGAUAUCAGGAGGAACACCGGCGGCGAAGACGGCUUGCUGGACCAAAACUGACGCUGAGGCACGAAAGCGUGGGUAGCAAACAGG